rnacentral:rRNA from 1 species
AGCUCCAAUAGCGUAUAUUAAAGUUGUUGCAGUUAAAAAGCUCGUAGUUGAAAUACUGACAUAGUCGACCGGUCUCACGCAUUGUCGUGAGCACUUGUGUUGUAUUAGGUCAUUCUUGGAUUUUAGCCAGUCUGGCAUUAAGUUGUCGGGUUGGUGAAAACCAUCGUUUACUGUGAAAAAAUUAGAGUGUUCAAAGCAGACUUAUGUCGUUGAAUAGAUUAGCAUGGAAUAAUAAUAUAGGACUUUUGUACUAUUUUGUUGGUUAGGUGUAAAAGUAAUGAUCAAUAGGGACAGUUGGGCGUAUUCGUAUUUCGUUGCUAGAGGUGAAAUUCUUGGAUUUCCGAAAGACGAACUACUGCGAAAGCAUUUACGAAGGAUGUUUUCA